UGGCCUGCCACCCAGCAGAGGUAAUGGAAGAGAAAAGAUAUUAGGAUAUGGGAGAAGUGGACCUGUUCAGCAUUAAUUCUUUGGGGGCAGGCUUGAUCUUUCUCAGCAGUUCAGUCCUCUAGCAAACAUCAAAUAUGACUCAGCCGCUGCAGACCAGCCCUCUAGGCAGGCAGAUAACACACAUGGACUAGCAACUACAGUCCAGUCCUUUUGCAGGCAGACAUCAAGUACAAACCAGCAACUGUAAUUCAAUCCUGAAGAAACCGCGAGACUCUCCAACCAGCCCAAGACAAAGCUGCUGAAAUGGCAAAUUGCCAAAGGAACUUCACGAGCACUCCUUGGACAAAUUUCUCUCUAUGGCAGCGUUGCCACAAUUUGAGCUCAACACAAUAUAAGACAAACCAAUACAUGUGUGUUGUUAGUAAAGAACAGCGAGGCGGAGCAAAUCAAACCAAUGCUCAGUGCCUGUCUCCCACUGUGGGGUCAUAUUUAUACUCCUUCAUCAAGCAUCCUUCCACGUGUUUGCUGUAUCAGAACAUCCUUUUGUUGUGCCCAGAUUGUAAAAACCCCAAAGAGACCACCAGGAAUCACAACCCGAUGUUGUCACAUGAGGGUCUUGAUUCAAGCUCCAGCUUGGGCCACCAACCUUCCUGAUGGAACAGGAAGGAGAGUGAACCCCCAGGUCUAAGCGAAGGGGGUUUAUAAAGGAAAAAAACAGGUUUUCCAAGCCUUGGCCUUCACUCCAUGAGAGGGUAAAGGAAUGCCAUCCUUCAAACCUGAUAGCGUUUGUUCAGAGAGCGGAGCAGAGCCGCGCAGCUGGAGAGGGACCUUUCUGAGCAGGGAAAAGUAACUUAGUGUGCUGUCAGAAGCUGGUGUAUGGUUACAAAGUGGUCAGAUCUGCCUGGGAACACCUCAUUGUCUCUCUCCCAUAGUCCAAGAAGUGGGCCUUUAUCAUUUCAAGGAUAUUGGCUUCUGCUUCCUUCAAGGGCAGGAGCCAUCUGCACCCAGAGGAAUGUUGGUUGUUAAUCAAAAGGAGAUGUGAGUUACAUGGAGAUUAGGUUAUGCUGCUUUUCAUCUGUUCCCAAGGCUGGCAUUUGCCCCCCACACACACCGGGGGUGGGGGGAGUCGUCAGAGGGAGGGAGUGCUAACUGCUCUGGCUCUGCGAAGGGUCGGGAAAGUAUAGGAUUUGAUGCAGGUUUCCUGUGUCUCUUCACUUUCAUCUGUGUCUGCUUCACUAAUGCAUCCUUUCACCUGUGUGCCCCAGCCAAACAUCAUUUAACAUAACUAACUUCCCAAGGAAUCUAGAAGGUUCCACUUCACUUUUGCACCACGAUUGCACCAGCACAUCUUGUAGAUAUGUCACCUUUAUAGGUGACAGGGUUCGUAACAGGGUUGGUGGUUACCUUUCUCCUCGGGUAGCAAGCAGGGUACUUUCCAGUACCAUGAAAACCAGUCAUAGGGAUGAAGGGUCUAGUCCAGCACCAUCUUGACUGCGUGUUUAAUGAGAUAACGUAUGCUUUGUCUUCAGUAAUAGGCCCUUAAUCUCAGUUUGCAGAGACAACCAAUAUCCUGAGUUCUCUGAUGGCUUCCAUGGGGGUCCCUUUGUCCAACAGUUCAAUUAGCUAUAACCUAUUCCUGGCACUAGAGGUUCCACUUGAAGCUAGUCACUGGGUUUUGCCGCAGCGCCAGUAUGAACCUAUCAGCAGGCUCUUUUUCUACAUCACGGAUUCUCACUCCUAAACCCAAACACUGAGAUUUCCAUCAAAUGACGACCCUCUGUUCUCAUAAAUCAUCUGUCACCUUAGACCAGGCAGAUUGGGACUUUCAGUCCCUGCGUAGGCAAAGAUUUGUGCCUCUACUAACCCCAAAGAAGUUGUAGGUGCCAAAUCUUCAGCUUCCAUAAAGUCUUUAAAUUACGUGCUCACAGUCUCAGAGGAGAAAAUACCAACAGUGUAAAAGACAGGGAAGGUACAGAGACACCGGGAAGGGGAGGAGCCCUUUAAUCCAGAGCGUGCUUGAAGCCUUCUGAAGUAAAAUAAGGUAGAAGAUGUAAUCAUUAGAUAUCUAUUUGCUGACUUAUUUAGUGAUUUACUUAAAGCACUGUACUGCCAUUUGCCAAGCAUGGCUUCCCUUGCUACCUGAGAGAAAGAGAUGAAACAACGGGCCGUUGCCCUUAACAACCUUGGGACCGCCACAGACGCUGCUGUAAAACCUCCCUUGAUUGCUCGCUCCACAUUAUGGUUUUAAUGAAUAGAACGAGAAUGAAAACUGCACCCGUACUGAAGCUGUCCUGGCUUCAGCCCACCAAUGACAUCUCCUCCCUUCCACUCUCCUUGGUGUCAGAGUGCUUACUCCAGAACGAUUCCCACAACACUUUCUCGCCAGCUAGUGACGAAAACCACAACGUAAUUAGCAGCAUCUGCUUACUGCUAUCCUCCCUUGCCAGUCUCAAAGCUACAUCGCCAAAACCUCCGCAUGGAACUGCGUCCAUCCUAUUGGCUAGAGGUUCUGACUGAUUGUCAAAGCUCCAGCCCACUGUGGUGGUCCUGGGAAAUACAAGGAAGAGGGAGCCCUAAGCAACAAGCAAUGUUCUUCCAUGACCUCUGCUUCAGUUCCUGCUUCCAGAUUCCUGCUUGAGAGUUCCUGCUGUGACUUUUCUCAGUGAUGGACUGUGAUGUAGACACAUUAGCCAAAUAAGCCUUUUUCAUUGCCAGUUGGUAACUGUUGGGCGGAGCCUAGCAAAGGCACCCUUCACCCACCUGAAGCCUCUCUCCAGCUGAGAAAGUUCCACCACAGCCGCCACCAUCCGUCAUGAAGGUUAACAACAAAGAGACAAUAUUCCUUUUGCAUAGAAAUCUUUUAUGUUAAUCAGCAAUGACCAGGUUCAAGGCCUGUCUGUUUAUGACCAUGUUGGGUAGGGCCCCACUUCUCUCAGAUAUUUUCCUGGUAACCUCACAAACAAGGCUAUUAUUUUUUUACAGUGGUGAACUGUCUUUUGUGCCAGUGAUCCAGCAUUUUCCAUGUCACCCACAAUCCUGUAGAGUAUGGGACCUUUGCAGACCCUUCCAUGAUGAUAGCACCACACACCUACUUACAGGCAGACACCCAUACAUAUGAAAGAAAAAUAAAAAUUUUUAAGAGAGAGACGUGUGUCCCUCUCUUCGUCUAUCAAACGAUCGAGAUCAGGGGUCCCAAGAAUUUGGAACUUCCCCAGGAAUAUCACACUGGAGAGAAAGGUUGAAGCCUACACAGCAAGAUCAAAGGCCUUCUGC